rnacentral:rRNA from 1 species
UGGGGAAUAUUGGACAAUGGGCGAAAGCCUGAUCCAGCAAUGCCGCGUGAGUGAUGAAGGCCUUAGGGUUGUAAAGCUCUUUUACCCGGGAUAAUAAUGACAGUACCGGGAGAAUAAGCUCCGGCUAACCCCGUGCCAGCAGCCGCGGUAAUACGGAGGGAGCUAGCGUUGUUCGGAUAUACUGGGCGUAAAGCGCACGUAGGCGGCGCAGCAAGUCAGGGGUGAAAUCCCGGAGCUCAACUCCGGAACUGCCCUUGAAACUGCAGUGCUAGAAUUCUGGAGAGGCGAGUGGAAUUCCGAGUGUAGAGGUGAAAUUCGUAGAUAUUCGGAGGAACACCAGUGGCGAAGGCGGCUCACUGGUCCAUUACUGACGCUGAGGUGCGAAAGCGUGGGGAGCAAAC